AUGCAGUCGAGCGAAUCGAUGGGAGCUUGCUCCCUGAGAUUAGCGGCGGACGGGUGAGUAACACGUGGGCAACCUGCCUAUAAGACUGGGAUAACUUCGGGAAACCGGAGCUAAUACCGGAUACGUUCUUUUCUCGCAUGAGAGAAGAUGGAAAGACGGUUUACGCUGUCACUUAUAGAUGGGCCCGCGGCGCAUUAGCUAGUUGGUGAGGUAAUGGCUCACCAAGGCGACGAUGCGUAGCCGACCUGAGAGGGUGAUCGGCCACACUGGGACUGAGACACGGCCCAGACUCCUACGGGAGGCAGCAGUAGGGAAUCUUCCGCAAUGGACGAAAGUCUGACGGAGCAACGCCGCGUGAACGAAGAAGGCCUUCGGGUCGUAAAGUUCUGUUGUUAGGGAAGAACAAGUACCAGAGUAACUGCUGGUACCUUGACGGUACCUAACCAGAAAGCCACGGCUAACUACGUGCCAGCAGCCGCGGUAAUACGUAGGUGGCAAGCGUUGUCCGGAAUUAUUGGGCGUAAAGCGCGCGCAGGUGGUUCCUUAAGUCUGAUGUGAAAGCCCACGGCUCAACCGUGGAGGGUCAUUGGAAACUGGGGAACUUGAGUGCAGAAGAGGAAAGUGGAAUUCCAAGUGUAGCGGUGAAAUGCGUAGAGAUUUGGAGGAACACCAGUGGCGAAGGCGACUUUCUGGUCUGUAACUGACACUGAGGCGCGAAAGCGUGGGGAGCAAACAGGAUUAGAUACCCUGGUAGUCCACGCCGUAAACGAUGAGUGCUAAGUGUUAGAGGGUUUCCGCCCUUUAGUGCUGCAGCUAACGCAUUAAGCACUCCGCCUGGGGGAGUACGGCCGCAAGGCUGAAACUCAAAGGAAUUGACGGGGGGCCCGCACAAGCGGUGGAAGCAUGUGGGUUUAAUUCGAAGCAACGCGAAAA
rnacentral:rRNA from 1 species